CCUACGGGAGGCAGCAGUGAGGAAUAUUGGACAAUGGGCGCUAGCCUGAACCAGCCAAGUAGCGUGAAGGAUGACUGCCCUAGGGGUUGUAAACAUCUUUUAUAUGGGGAUAAAGUGCAGUAUGUAUACUGCUUGGCAUGUACCUUAUGAAUAAGGAUCGGCUAACUCCGUGCCAGCAGCCGCGGUAAUACGGAGGAUCCGAGCGUUAUCCGGAUUUAUUGGGUUUAAAGGGAGCGUAGGCGGGUUGUUAAGUCAGUUGUGAAAGCCUGCGGCUCAACCGGAAAACUGCAGUUGAUACUGGCAGGCUUGAGUAUAGUAGAGGGAGGUAGAAUUCGAGGUGUAGCGGUGAAAUGCUUAGAGAUCACGAAGAACUCCGAUUGCGAAGGCAGCCUGCUGGACUGUGACUGACGCUGAUGCUCGAAAGCGUGGGGAGCAAACAGGAUUAGAUACCCUUGUAGUC
rnacentral:rRNA from 1 species